GACGAACGCUGGCGGCGUGCUUAACACAUGCAAGUCGAACGAUGAACCGGAGCUUGCUCUGGGGAUUAGUGGCGAACGGGUGAGUAACACGUGGGCAACCUGCCCCAGACACCGGGAUAACCAUUCGAAAGGAUGGCUAAUACCGGAUACGACCACUUCGGGCAUCCGAUGGUGGUGGAAAGGAUUCUGGUCUGGGAUGGGCCCGCGGCCUAUCAGCUUGUUGGUGGGGUAAUGGCCGACCAAGGCGACGACGGGUAGCCGGCCUGAGAGGGCGACCGGCCGCACUGGGACUGAGACACGGCCCAGACUCCUACGGGAGGCAGCAGUGGGGAAUAUUGCGCAAUGGGCGAAAGCCUGACGCAGCGACGCCGCGUGAGGGACGAAGGUCUUCGGAUUGUAAACCUCUUUCAGCAGGGAUGAAGCGAAAGUGACAGUACCUGCAGAAGAAGCACCGGCUAACUACGUGCCAGCAGCCGCGGUAAGAC
rnacentral:rRNA from 1 species